rnacentral:rRNA from 1 species
GACGAACGCUGGCGGCGUGCUUAACACAUGCAAGUCGAACGGAAAGGCCCUGCUUUUGUGGGGUGCUCGAGUGGCGAACGGGUGAGUAACACGUGAGUAACCUGCCCUUGACUUUGGGAUAACUUCAGGAAACUGGGGCUAAUACCGGAUAGGAGCUCCUGCUGCAUGGUGGGGGUUGGAAAGUUUCGGCGGUUGGGGAUGGACUCGCGGCUUAUCAGCUUGUUGGUGGGGUAGUGGCUUACCAAGGCUUUGACGGGUAGCCGGCCUGAGAGGGUGACCGGCCACAUUGGGACUGAGAUACGGCCCAGACUCCUACGGGAGGCAGCAGUGGGGAAUAUUGCACAAUGGGCGGAAGCAUGAUGCAGCAACGCCGCGUGCGGGAAGACGGCCUUCGGGUUGUAAACCGCUUUCGCCUGUGACGAAGCGUGAGUGACGGUAAUGGGUAAAGAAGCACCGGCUAACUACGU